UUUUUUAAUCAUAGGGUCAACAAGGUCAGAGAGGGACAGACGGACUUCCAGGACAGAAAGGUGAACUGGGUCCACCAGGAAAUCCUGGCUAUCCUGGAACCAUGGGACCGCCUGGACUCCCUGGCCUUAAAGGAGAGCGUGGCAGUCCAGGAACUGCAGGGCAGAAAGGAGAUUCUGGUCCACCGGGAUCUCCAGGUUAUCAAGGACCAGUCGGCCCAACAGUGAGUAAACAUCC